CCCUUAGAUGCUCUGGGCCGCACGCGCGCUACACUGGUCGAUGCAACGAGUUUCUUUCCUUGGCCGAGAGGCGUGGGUAACCCGCUGAACCCCACUCGUGAUAGGGAUUGGGGAUUGCAAUUAUUUCCCAUGAACGAGGAAUUCCCAGUAAGCGCGGGUCAUAAGCUCGCGUUGAUUAAGUCCCUGCCCUUUGUACACACCGCCCGUCGCUACUACCGAUUGGAUGGUUUAGUGAGGUCCUCGGAUCGGCCCCGCCGGGGUCGGUCACGGUCCUGGCGGAGCGCCGAGAAGACGAUCAAACUUGACUAUCUAGAGGAAGUAAAANUCGUANCA
rnacentral:rRNA from 1 species